GACGAACGCUGGCGGCGUGCUUAACACAUGCAAGUCGAACGAUGAAGCCGAGCUUGCUCGGUGGAUUAGUGGCGAACGGGUGAGUAACACGUGAGCAACCUGCCCCUAACUCUGGGAUAACGCUUCGAAAGGAGUGCUAAUACCGGAUAUGAGCCUGGAAGACAUCUUCUGGGUUGGAAAGUUUUUCGGUUAGGGAUGGGCUCGCGGCCUAUCAGCUUGUUGGUGAGGUAAAGGCUCACCAAGGCGACGACGGGUAUCCGGCCUGAGAGGGCGACCGGACACACUGGGACUGAGACACGGCCCAGACUCCUACGGGAGGCAGCAGUAGGGAAUUUUCCACAAUGGGGGCAACCCUGAUGGAGCAACGCCGCGUGCAGGAUGAAGGCCCUAGGGUCGUAAACUGCUUUUAUCUGUGACGAAUAUGACGGUAGCAGAUGAAUAAGGAUCGGCUAACUCCGUG
rnacentral:rRNA from 1 species